CGAGUUGGUACCACCCCUUCCCAUCCCGAACAGGACCGUGAAACGACUCUGCGCCAAUGAUAGUGCUGCAACCAGUGUGAAAGUAGGUUAUCGUCAGGC
rnacentral:rRNA from 1 species